rnacentral:rRNA from 1 species
AACGAACGCUGGCGGCGUGCCUAACACAUGCAAGUCGAGCGAGAAAGUCCGCAAGGAUGAGUACAGCGGCGCACGGGUGCGUAACACGUGGGUAAUCUGCCCUGAAGCCCGGAAUAACCUCCCGAAAGGGAAGCUAAUGCCGGAUAAGACCACGGGAGCCUCGGCUCCUGCGGGAAAAGGUGGCCUCUGCACGCAAGCUAUCACUUCAGGAUGAGCCCGCGGCCCAUCAGCUCGCUGGCGGGGUAACGGCCCACCAAGGCUACGACGGGUAGCUGGUCUGAGAGGACGAUCAGCCACACUGGAACGGAGAAACGGUCCAGACUCAUAUGGGAGGCAGCAGUGGGGAAUCUUGCGCAAUGGGCGAAAGCCGGACGUAGCAACGCCGCGUGUGUGAUGAAGGUCUUCGGAUCGUAAAGCACUGUCGGGAGGAAAGAACAAGCCUGUGGCUAACAUCCACGGGCCUUGACGGUACCUCCAAAGGAAGCACCGGCUAACUCUGUGCCAGCAGCCGCCGUAA